AGAGUUUGAUCCUGGCUCAGGAUGAACGCUGGCGACGUGGAUAAGGCAUGCAAGUCGAACGGUUGUAGCAAUACAACAGUGGCGAACGGGUUAGUAACACGUAGGUAUCAACCCUUUACUCGGGCAUAACCUGGAGAAAUCUAGGCUAAUUCCCGAUAGUCCGGAAACGGUAAAGAUUUUUCGGUAAAGGAUGAGUCUGCGUCCUAUCAGCUAGUUGGUGAGGUAAUGGCCCACCAAGGCAAUGGCGGGUAGGCGGAGUGAGAGCUUGACCGCCAACAAUGGCACUGGAACAUGGGCCAUACUCCUACGGGAGGCAGCAGUCGAGAAUAUUUGACAAUGGGCGAAAGCCUGAUCAAGCGACGUCGCGUGUGGGAUUAAAAUCUUCGGAUUGUAAACCACUUUUCUAGGGGAAGAACUUUGACUGUACCCUAGGAAUAAGGGGUGACUAAACUCGUGCCAGCAGUAGCGGUAAUACGAGUGCCCCAAGCGUUAUCCGGAUUUAUUGGGCGUAAAGGGUCUGUAGGUGGUUUGUUAAGUUUCUCGUUAAAGCUCCAGGGCUUAACCUUGGAAAAGCGGGAAAAACUGGCAAACUAGAGGAUGUUAGAGGCUGAUGGAACACUUGGUGAAGGGGUGGAAUCCGUUGAUAUCAAGUGGAACACCGAAAGCGAAGGCAAUCAGCUGGGACAGUCCUGACACUGAAAGACGAAAGCGUGGGGAGAGAAAAGGAUUAGAUACCCUUGUAUUCCACGCCUUAAACGAUGAAUACUGGCUAUUGCAAGUGUCGACCCUUGCAGUGGCGAAGCUAACGCGUUAAGUAUUCCGCCUGGGAAGUACGGCCGCAAGGCUAAAACUCAAAUGAAUUGACGG
rnacentral:rRNA from 1 species